GCGGACGAACUUAAAGAAGAG
rnacentral:miRNA from 1 species